AGAGUUUGAUCAUGGCUCAGGACGAACGCUGGCGGCGUGCCUAACACAUGCAAGUCGAGCGGAUCAGACUGCAGACUGGAGAUAUCAGACAGGAGAAAGUUGUUAUCUGAUAUCUGCAAUCUGCGGUCUGGUUAGCGGCGGACGGGUGAGUAACACGUGGGCAACCUGCCUUAAGGAGGGGGAUAACACUAAGAAAUUGGUGCUAAUACCGCAUAAAACCGUAGGGUUGCAUGACCUUACGGUCAAAGGAGAAAUCCGCCUUAAGAUGGGCCCGCGUCCCAUUAGCUGGUUGGUGAGGUAACGGCUCACCAAGGCGACGAUGGGUAGCCGACCUGAGAGGGUGAUCGGCCACAUUGGAACUGAGACACGGUCCAGACUCCUACGGGAGGCAGCAGUGGGGAAUAUUGCACAAUGGGGGAAACCCUGAUGCAGCGACGCCGCGUGAGCUAAGAAGGCCUUCGGGUUGUAAAGCUCUGUCUUCAGGGACGAUAAUGACGGUACCUGAGGAGGAAGCCACGGCUAACUACGUGCCAGCAGCCGCGGUAAUACGUAGGUGGCGAGCGUUGUCCGGAAUUACUGGGCGUAAAGGGUGCGCAGGCGGCUUUUUAAGUGAGAUGUGAAAUCCAUGGGCUCAACCCAUGAAUUGCAUUUCAAACUGGAGAGCUUGAGUGCAGGAGAGGAAAGCGGAAUUCCCAGUGUAGCGGUGAAAUGCGUAGAGAUUGGGGAGGAACACCAGUGGCGAAAGGCGGCUUUCUGGACUGUAACUGACGCUGAGGCACGAAAGCGUGGGGAGCAAACAGGAUUAGAUACCCUGGUAGUCCACGCCGUAAACUAUGGGUACUAGGUGUAGGGGGCGCAGCCCUCUGUGCCGGAGUUACACAUUAAGUACCCCGCCUGGGAAGUACGAUCGCAGAAUUAAAACUCAAAUGAAUUGACGG
rnacentral:rRNA from 1 species